ensembl:lncRNA
CGCACCGCUCUCCCCAUGAGUAAAGGUUUCUGGUUGGCAUUUCCCUGACCAUCCUGCAGGGCCCCUAGUGUCAGGGCAGUGCUUCUCUCUUUGUCUCCAGCCUUUAGUUCCUCCGCCACGGGGAGGGCCCUGCCUGCAGGAGAAAUUUCUGCCCUGGCGUUGCCCUUGGAACAGGAAGGUGAAGGAAGUGGCACUGCAGCCCCAGCAGGGAGUUAUCCUGGAGUUAUCGAGCAUCCCUCAGGGAUCUGGAGCAAGGAAAUCCCCGCUCGCAACAGGAGCAAAGCGUAUUCUCUGCCUGCUGGGAACACUACAGGGAUGGUCCAAUUGUCCACCCGAAGGAAACAGGACAGUGCCACCCGGCCUCCAGUCACGACAGCAAGGCAGAAAUCUCCACCUGCUUCCAACUGGCUCCCUGUCCUGGAGAAACAUGACAUCCCGGUGGUUGUGGGAGUCUCCGUGUCUCUGGCUUUGAUAUUCAUUUCCAUGGGGGUGUAUUCGUUCCGCCAGAAAGUAGAGCACGCCAAAGGCAAUAGUAUCUCAUCUCAAAAAUCCUCUAACUCUAGGAGAAAGAGAAAUUACUUGGAAGCAGACGAGGCGUAUGAGAACAGGGCUUUCGAAGUUGAAUGCACUGUCGACGCUGUUGAGCAGAAUCCAUACGACACCACCAUUUCCCCCAGCCUGCUGCACUCCAACCCCACGCUCCCUGCAGAGGCGGCUGGGCAUCGAGAGGAACCCCUGGGUGUUGCUGCUGGCGAGGCUCUGCAGACAGCACAGGCCAGGGCAGUGGACUCCCCAGUGUCCCUGCAGCGUGAGUCUGCUCAUCAGGAGAAACACCCAAGCCCUGUGCCCACGCAGUUGAAGAGUGCUGGGCCCAAGGAGCCUGCUGCCAGGACUCCUGGCAUCUGCUCUGCAACCUCUCUGGCUCUCCAGCACAUUGGCACCACGCUGUAUUUCCACGGGCCUGAGCCGCUGCUCCAGAGCAUCGUACCGCUCAGGAGGAACACCAGUGGGAAUCAUGGCCAAGUUACUGCAGCCCCUGUGGUGGGGAUGAUGGAGCAUUCCCCUCCCGGAGAUCAGUCCAGUGCUGAAAUAGCCAUGAUGUCUGUUACUGUGGAAAUACACCUGUAUCCUUGCAACACAGAGAUGUCCUCACCCUCAGCAGCCACGCAGAAUGUGUCCGAUUCAUCUCAUCCAGAGGCAGCCGGGGCAGCAUCCCAGCAGCCAGCUUCACUGGUUGGCCCUGGUAUGUGAGCGUCAUUGCUCCUGCUGCUGUGGCUGUAUUUCUGAUUGCAGGGUGCUGGGCAGAGGGCAGGGGACUGGCUGGGUCAGCCUUUCUGCUCUGGAAACCCUGACUGGGAAGUGCAGCAGAGUAUCAGGUCUCUGCCUGAAGUGGAUCAUUAGGUGGACGAAUUACUUUCCCCUCUGAAGUUAGGUGCUGGCUUGGUAUGUACCAGUACAUUGGGCCAGACAGGGUGGGUCGAGCCUGUCUCAUGAGCACUGGGCCCGUAUUGGCUGUCAGGCCAGAGAGGGCAUUUGAGCCUUACUGUGUGGGUAUGAUUAAUCAUUAAAGAUACAGAGGAAAGCCAGGGUUGUCCUGGCCAAAUUCCAUCUUGAGUAAUUUUCAGCACUCCUAAUUUCCCACUUCAGGUAAUGCUUCACUUCCUAUUCCAAACUGUUGCAUAGGGUUGCUGUGCAUUGUUAAGCUGUUGCUGUGUUCCAUAUCAGAGGUGGCUGCAUUUCAGUGGGGGACAGAAGCAAUCCCUGUACAGUCCGUAUAGGUAGUUAAUAGGGUUUGGGGAUCCUCCUGGGUAAAAGCUCUGCAAUUGUGCUCUUCUAGGCACAUCUUCUAAGCCUGCUGCUGUUUUAUGGAGAAUUCCAUUUCUUGCGUUGCUUGUGAAUUCUCAUGCACAGAGGGUCCUGCUCAUACACUCUUCUGACUUUCACAGGGCCCAGGAGUUUUUUGUGACUGGAUUAAAACUGACCCGUGAAGUCUUGAAAAGGACAAAAUAACUCUUCUCUGGCAGAGGGAGGCCAGGAGCAGACAUGUGCCCUGAUGAUGGGUGCUCUGAAGUGGGUCAGACUAUUCUACUAUGUAUAUGGAUGUUUGUUUUUAUCAUGGCUUCUGUUUCUUUGGUCCUCCUCUUCUGCUCCUGUCUCUAGCUUUUUGAGUCACUGUCCUCUGUGCUACAUCAGCCACAGAACCCCCAGCUGCAGAAUGUUGAGCCAGAAAUAGCAAGAAGUCGCUCCAAGCCAUCGAAUCCCUUGGCACUGUGUGCCGGUAGAGUCACAAUUAGGGCUUGGGACAUUCUUGGCUUGGAGAAUGAAUUGAGGACAGUUACAAGACCAUUGUUUUACUGUGCAGUUUGCAAAGCCCUGUGUCCUGGGAGCAUCCAGGGAAGGACACAGCGAGAUCAUAGGCAAACACUGCAGCGCCAUGUGACUGAAGCAGAACAAAGGCUGUUAUGAUGAAACGGAAGAAGUGCACUGAACCCUACAGGAAGCAUUCCGUGUGUCUGGCAUGGAGAUGUGUGAAAUUGUGGCUGAUUCUGUGAUGUGGACACAGAACCCUGCUGAGGCAGAUUAACAUAGGGAUAGAUGUUAUGCUAGGGAGACGCUGUGUGAGAAUGUAAGCGCUGUGUUGUCAGCAUCUGGAGCUUUAAAAUAAACCUAUGGUUGGUAACA